GCGCCCAUAGCUCAACUGGAUAGAGUACCUGACUACGAAUCAGGCGGUUGGAGGUUCGACUCCUUCUGGGCGCGCCA
rnacentral:tRNA from 3 species